UACGUAGGUGGCAAGCGUUGUCCGGAAUUAUUGGGCGUAAAGCGCGCGCAGGCGGUCCUUUAAGUCUGAUGUGAAAGCCCACGGCUCAACCGUGGAGGGUCAUUGGAAACUGGGGGACUUGAGUGCAGAAGAGGAAAGCGGAAUUCCACGUGUAGCGGUGAAAUGCGUAGAGAUGUGGAGGAACACCAGUGGCGAAGGCGGCUUCUGGUCUGUUCUUGACGCUGAGGCGCGAAAGCUAGGGUAGCAAACGGG
rnacentral:rRNA from 1 species